UACGGAGGGUGCGAGCGUUAAUCGGAAUUACUGGGCGUAAAGCGUGCGCAGGCGGUGAUGUAAGACAGAUGUGAAAUCCCCGGGCUCAACCUGGGAACUGCAUUUGUGACUGCAUCGCUGGAGUGCGGCAGAGGGGGAUGGAAUUCCGCGUGUAGCAGUGAAAUGCGUAGAUAUGCGGAGGAACACCGAUGGCGAAGGCAAUCCCCUGGGCCUGCACUGACGCUCAUGCACGAAAGCGUGGGGAGCAACAGG
rnacentral:rRNA from 1 species